AGCUGGAUAAAGAAUUUGAACUGCACAGGCAGAGAAAAGGAAACAGAUCUCCAUUGAGAGGAAGGACGUGUUUUUCCAGAGCUCCUGUGAGAUUCUCGGGUGAGCGCUCUGAUGUUCCUGUAUUAAUGUAUAUAUGGCACCAGUUGGCCACUGUUGCAGCAGGAUGCUGGAUGAGAUGGACCUUUGGCCUGAUCCAGCAUGACUCUUCUGAAGUUCUUAUGGGAACCAUCCCCCCCACCUGCUGUCCCCUUCCCAGGGCAAGGCUUUUUGUGAUUUCUUUUCUUUUGUUUUUAGUUUUGGAAGGUGUAGCAGGGAAAGAAAAAUAAUGGCUAAUUUGGUAUUUUGAGUGUCCAUGUUAAACACUUGAAAAGUUCCUUGAGUGAUUGAUAUGAAUCAUUCAAGAAGCACUUGAACACCUGGAAAUCCAAUCUAUUUUCAGGUUGAGAAGGAGGGAUUGGCAACAUCCCUAAUUAUGAUAGUCCCCUCCAUGCUGCUCUUAAUAGCUGGCAUAAUAUUGUCCUGUUCCUUUAAUAAGUAACUAUUUAAUUCCAUCUGCCUCUUUAUUUCCGUCCCACUGCAACGAUAUGUUUUGGCUGUUACAGCAACCAGUUAUUAUGCACUCUUGUUCAAGAAUACAUGAAUUUUA